rnacentral:rRNA from 1 species
GACGGUACCUGCAGAAAAAGCGCCGGCUAACUACGUGCCAGCAGCCGCGGUAAUACGUAGGGCGCAAGCGUUAUCCGGAAUUAUUGGGCGUAAAGAGCUCGUAGGCGGUUUGUCGCGUCUGCUGUGAAAUCCGGAGGCUCAACCUCCGGCCUGCAGUGGGUACGGGCAGACUAGAGUGCGGUAGGGGAGAUUGGAAUUCCUGGUGUAGCGGUGGAAUGCGCAGAUAUCAGGAGGAACACCGAUGGCGAAGGCAGAUCUCUGGGCCGUAACUGACGCUGAGGAGCGAAAGGGUGGGGAGCAAACAGGCUUAUAUACCCUGGUAGUCCACCCCGUAAACGUUGGGAACUAGUUGUGGGGUCCAUUCCACG